rnacentral:rRNA from 1 species
AGCGUACACGGUGGAUGCCCUGGCAGUCAGAGGCGAUGAAGGACGUGCUAAUCUGCGAAAAGCGCCGGCGAGGUGAUAUGAACCUUUGACCCGGCGAUGUCCGAAUGGGGAAACCCAGUGCAAUUCGUUGCACUAUCGUUAACUGAAUACAUAGGUUAACGAGGCGAACCGGGGGAACUGAAACAUCUAAGUACCCCGAGGAAAAGAAAUCAACCGAGAUUCCCCCAGUAGCGGCGAGCGAACGGGGAGCAGCCCAGAGUCUGAAUCAGCUUGUGUGUUAGUGGAAGCGUCUGGAAAGUCGCACGGUACAGGGUGACAGUCCCGUACACGAAAGCACACAGGCUGUGAACUCGAAGAGUAGGGCGGGACACGUGGUAUCCUGUCUGAAUAUGGGGGGACCAUCCUCCAAGGCUAAAUACUCCUGACUGACCGAUAGUGAACCAGUACCGUGAGGGAAAGGCGAAAAGAACCCCGGCGAGGGGAGUGAAAAAGAACCUGAAACCGUGUACGUACAAGCAGUGGGAGCACCUUCGUGGUGUGACUGCGUACCUUUUGUAUAAUGGGUCAGCGACUUAUAUUCUGUAGCAAGGUUAACCGUAUAGGGGAGCCGAAGGGAAACCGAGUCUUAACUGGGCGUUAAGUUGCAGGGUAUAGACCCGAAACCCGGUGAUCUAGCCAUGGGCAGGUUGAAGGUUGGGUAACACUAACUGGAGGACCGAACCGACUAAUGUUGAAAAAUUAGCGGAUGACUUGUGGCUGGGGGUGAAAGGCCAAUCAAACCGGGAGAUAGCUGGUUCUCCCCGAAAGCUAUUUAGGUAGCGCCUCGUGAACUCAUCUUCGGGGGUAGAGCACUGUUUCGGCUAGGGGGCCAUCCCGGCUUACCAACCCGAUGCAAACUACGAAUACCGAAGAAUGUUAUCACGGGAGACACACGGCGGGUGCUAACGUCCGUCGUGAAGAGGGAAACAACCCAGACCGCCAGCUAAGGUCCCAAAGUCAUGGUUAAGUGGGAAACGAUGUGGGAAGGCACAGACAGCCAGGAUGUUGGCUUAGAAGCAGCCAUCAUUUAAAGAAAGCGUAAUAGCUCACUGGUCGAGUCGGCCUGCGCGGAAGAUGUAACGGGGCUAAACCAUGCACCGAAGCUGCGGCAGCGACGCGUAUGCGUUGUUGGGUAGGGGAGCGUUCUGUAAGCCGUUGAAGGUGUGCUGUGAGGCAUGCUGGAGGUAUCAGAAGUGCGAAUGCUGACAUAAGUAACGAUAAAGCGGGUGAAAAGCCCGCUCGCCGGAAGACCAAGGGUUCCUGUCCAACGUUAAUCGGGGCAGGGUGAGUCGACCCCUAAGGCGAGGCCGAAAGGCGUAGUCGAUGGGAAACAGGUUAAUAUUCCUGUACUUGGUGUUACUGCGAAGGGGGGACGGAGAAGGCUAUGUUAGCCGGGCGACGGUUGUCCCGGUUUAAGCAUGUAGGCGGAGGUUCCAGGUAAAUCCGGUACCUUUUAACGCUGAGGUGUGAUGACGAGGCACUACGGUGCUGAAGUAACAAAUGCCCUGCUUCCAGGAAAAGCCUCUAAGCAUCAGGUAACACGAAAUCGUACCCCAAACCGACACAGGUGGUCAGGUAGAGAAUACCAAGGCGCUUGAGAGAACUCGGGUGAAGGAACUAGGCAAAAUGGUGCCGUAACUUCGGGAGAAGGCACGCUGAUAUGUAGGUGAAGCCCCUGCGGGUGGAGCUGAAAUCAGUCGAAGAUACCAGCUGGCUGCAACUGUUUAUUAAAAACACAGCACUGUGCAAACACGAAAGUGGACGUAUACGGUGUGACGCCUGCCCGGUGCCGGAAGGUUAAUUGAUGGGGUUAGCGGCAACGCGAAGCUCUUGAUCGAAGCCCCGGUAAACGGCGGCCGUAACUAUAACGGUCCUAAGGUAGCGAAAUUCCUUGUCGGGUAAGUUCCGACCUGCACGAAUGGCGUAAUGAUGGCCAGGCUGUCUCCACCCGAGACUCAGUGAAAUUGAACUCGCUGUGAAGAUGCAGUGUACCCGCGGCAAGACGGAAAGACCCCGUGAACCUUUACUAUAGCUUGACACUGAACACUGGUCCUUGAUGUGUAGGAUAGGUGGGAGGCUUUGAAGCGUGGACGCCAGUCUGCGUGGAGCCGUCCUUGAAAUACCACCCUUUAAUGGCUGGUGUUCUAACGUAGACCCGUAAUCCGGGUUGCGGACAGUGUCUGGUGGGUAGUUUGACUGGGGCGGUCUCCUCCCAAAGAGUAACGGAGGAGCACGAAGGUUAGCUAAUCCUGGUCGGACAUCAGGAGGUUAGUGCAAUGGCAUAAGCUAGCUUGACUGCGAGAGUGACGGCUCGAGCAGGUGCGAAAGCAGGUCAUAGUGAUCCGGUGGUUCUGAAUGGAAGGGCCAUCGCUCAACGGAUAAAAGGUACUCCGGGGAUAACAGGCUGAUACCGCCCAAGAGUUCAUAUCGACGGCGGUGUUUGGCACCUCGAUGUCGGCUCAUCACAUCCUGGGGCUGAAGUAGGUCCCAAGGGUAUGGCUGUUCGCCAUUUAAAGUGGUACGCGAGCUGGGUUUAGAACGUCGUGAGACAGUUCGGUCCCUAUCUGCCGUGGGCGCUGGAGAAUUGAGGGGGGCUGCUCCUAGUACGAGAGGACCGGAGUGGACGCAUCACUGGUGUUCGGGUUGUCAUGCCAAUGGCACUGCCCGGUAGCUAAAUGCGGAAAAGAUAAGUGCUGAAAGCAUCUAAGCACGAAACUUGCCCCGAGAUGAGUUCU